CGAGAAGUGAAGCAAUGCAACUUCCGAUGUGAACCAGAGGUCCCUCUUUUCCCAGAUCAAGCCUGGCCGCAACCGCUCCAAUGCUGCCAAUGAUCUACCAAACACCCGCCACCAGGAAAUAAAAACAUGAAUGGUCGGUCCCGCAGCCGUAGGAGCAAAACACACACAGAGAACUGCGGCCACCAACGGAGAAAACUUGGACCGGAAUAUGCGAACAAGCAAGUGGUGGAAAUGGCACCUUUUCUGGGAAAUGAAAUGGGCGACAGCGAGGAGCUUGAAG